GUCACUUUGCCGGAGUGGUUAACGGGAUCGCCUGCUACUUUACCGGUAGACUUAGAUAAGCGGUUGGGCUUUGCCCGCGUGUGUUCGAAUCGCACAGGUGACG